rnacentral:rRNA from 1 species
CCUACGGGAGGCAGCAGUGGGGAAUAUUGGGCAAUGGGCGCAAGCCUGACCCAGCAACGCCGCGUGAAGGAAGAAGGCUUUCGGGUUGUAAACUUCUUUUAAGGGGGAAGAGGAGAAGACGGUACCCCUUGAAUAAGCCACGGCUAACUACGUGCCAGCAGCCGCGGUAAUACGUAGGUGGCAAGCGUUGUCCGGAUUUAUUGGGUUUAAAGGGUGCGUAGGCGGACUGGAAAGUCAGCGGUAAAAUCGAGAGGCUCAACCUCUUUCCGCCGUUGAAACUGUCGAUCUUGAGUGGGCGAGAAGUAUGCGACCUGCGUGGUGUAGCGGUGAAAUGCCUAGAUCUCGCGCAGAACUCCGCUUGCGACGGCAGCAUACCGGCGCCCGACUGACGCUGAGGCACGAAAGCGUGGGUAUCGAACAGGAUUAGAUACCCUUGUAGUC